rnacentral:tRNA from 1 species
GGUGCUUUAGAGUAGUGGUCUAACUCGCUCCUUCCGGUCACACCUCCUAUUUGUGACCCGAAGGGGAGAUCGGGGGUUCGAAUCCCUCAGGCACCG